rnacentral:rRNA from 1 species
AAAUUGAAGAGUUUGAUCAUGGCUCAGAUUGAACGCUGGCGGCAGGCCUAACACAUGCAAGUCGAACGGUAACAGAAAUCAGCUUGCUGAUUUGCUGACGAGUGGCGGACGGGUGAGUAAUGUCUGGGAAACUGCCUGAUGGAGGGGGAUAACUACUGGAAACGGUAGCUAAUACCGCAUAACGUCGCAAGACCAAAGAGGGGGACCUUCGGGCCUCUUGCCAUCGGAU